rnacentral:rRNA from 1 species
GGCCUCAACUGCACCACAUCUGAGCCUCUCAACCGAACCAACUAUGUCUUCUGGAAAGCCCAAGCUCGCUCCCAAAUCAUGGGGGCUGGGCUAUAUGGGUACAUCGAUCAAUCCAUACCUGAACCCACCAAGACCAUCGUGACCAAGAACUCCGAUGGGAAAUAAGAGACCGUUCCCAACCCUGCCUACAACCCCUGGCUCGUCCAAGACCAGCAAAUCGUGGCCUAUCUCCUCCGGAACCUCUCCAAGGAAGUUCUCGUUCAGGUUGCAUCCCUAAAAAAAUCCCAUGCGAUCUGGUCAGCACUCGCUAACAUGUUCGCCGCCCAAUCCCGCUCCCACGCCAACAAUUGCCGCAUCGCCCUCUCAAACGCCCAAAAAGGCUCACAGAGUGCAACUACUUACUUCAAUCACAUGCGAGCCCUCUCUGAUGAGCUCGCUGCAGCUGGCAAAACCAUCAAGGACUAG